rnacentral:rRNA from 1 species
UCCACGGGGCGCAGCAGUAGGGAAUCUUCCACAAUGGACGAAAGUCUGAUGGAGCAACGCCGCGUGAGUGAAGAAGGGUUUCGGCUCGUAAAGCUCUGUUGGGAGUGAAGAAAGAUAGAGGUAGUAACUGGCCUUUAUUUGACGGUAAUUACUUAGAAAGUCACGGCUAACUACGUGCCAGCAGCCGCGGUAAUACGUAGGUGGCAAGCGUUGUCCGGAUUUAUUGGGCGUAAAGCGAGUGCAGGCGGGUCAAAAAGGCUGAUGUGAAAGGCCUCGGCGCAACCGGAGAAAUGCAUCAGAAACUG